GACUCUCGGCAAUGGAUAUAUCAACUCUUGCAUUGAUGAAGAAUAUAGCAAAAUGCAAUACUUUGUGUGAAUUACAAAAUCCCAUGAACCAUUCAGUCUUUGAACGUAGGUUAUGCCCAAAGCCAUUAAGUUGAGGGCACGUCUACCUAGGCAUCA
rnacentral:rRNA from 1 species